rnacentral:rRNA from 1 species
UACGUAGGGUGCGAGCGUUGUCCGGAAUUAUUGGGCGUAAAGAGCUCGUAGGCGGUGUGUCACGUCGGCCGUGAAAACCUGCAGCUUAACUGUGGGCGUGCGGUCGAUACGGGCAGGCUGGAGUUCGGUAGGGGAGACUGGAAUUCCUGGUGUAGCGGUGAAAUGCGCAGAUAUCAGGAGGAACACCGGUGGCGAAGGCGGCGACCUGGGUAGAUACUGACGCUGAGGUGCGAAAGCGUGGGGAGCAAACAGG